rnacentral:rRNA from 1 species
UACGUAGGGGGCAAGCGUUGUCCGGAUUCAUUGGGCGUAAAGGGCGUGUAGGCGGCCAGGUAGGUCGGUUGUGAAAACUGGAGGCUCAACCUUCAGAGGUCGACCGAAACCAUCUGGCUAGAGUCCGGGAGAGGAGAGUGGAAUUCCUGGUGUAGCGGUGAAAUGCGCAGAUAUCAGGAAGAACACCCGUGGCGAAGGCGGGUCUCUGGACAGUUACUGACGCUGAGGCACGAAGGCGAGGGGAGCAAACGGG